rnacentral:lncRNA from 1 species
CCGUCGCGGCAGGCGCGGAGCGGNNNNNNNNNNNNNNNNNNNNNNNNNNNNNNNNNNNNNNNNNNNNNAAAAAAAAAAAAAAAAAAAAUCUGACGGGGUGGGGAAAGUACUCCGUUGCAGGUCUGCUCUUCUGGCCAGAGGGCACGACAUGUCGUUGCGGCGGUGAGAGAGGAGGAGAUCUCAGAGAUGUUUCCAGCUCUCAGCGCUAGCAGCCCGCAAUGGUCUGGUGCUUACGGCCCUUCCACGGAAGAGCCGUCAGGCUCCCGUCCCUGUCACACCCCAAGUCACGCUCAGAGCUCAGGGAAGUCUUCUGGCUCAGGAUACACAAACUGAAGUCAGUGAAAACACUAUGUGCUCAAAACUUCGGAAAAAUUCAAGGCUCUUAUGAGGUAACCAAAAAAGGACUGCAGCACUGUAUUCUAAUGUAACGGCGCUCUCAAACUACCGUUUUUCCAUUUGUAAAAUGCAGACAGCCAGGUAACAACCGAGCAUUUUUUCCUCCGAGUUGUAAGCUCAAUGGUCCAGGAAUGACCAUUUUCUGUACACUGACAGACCACCUCAGAGCCCUGGCACACCGUGGCUGUUGCAGUGCUAGCGCUGCAGAAACCACCAGUACUUAUCUGCGUUAGAGCACAUCAACAUACUCCAAGAAAACCGUGCCCAUAUCCUGACUCUCACCCGCCUUUCUCCCGUGCUGCAGCAGCUGCCCUUGCCCAGGUCACCCCAACGGGAACGCCACCGCAGAGCGAUGGUCUUGCAGGGGCUGCUCAGGUGUUAUCGGAGGCGGUAUGAAAUACCAGCGAUCUGCUCUCCUCUCCAGUCACAAGCGCAGUCGAAGCGUGUCAUCUGCUGGUGCCAGCGCUACCACCCGGCGGUCCAGCCGUGCCGCCCUGGGACCAGGCAGCCCCACGGCAGGACAGCACGUAACGAACCCCAGCGUCCCCACUACUAUCAGUGCCAUAAUCCUCCAGGAAAGGAUCUCUUCCUCUGCUCAGUUUUACACCAAUAUUUGGCGUCACUUUCUUAACAUUGCAUUGAUGAAAUAACAACUGUUUUUCAAAGCACCAAUUCUUCCUUGUUUCUCCAAGUUGGAAAAGACACAAUCAUCAACAUAAGUACUGUAUUUAAAAAUUGCACCUGACUGCUGUAGUAAAUUCAUGUCAUGCUUUUUUAUGAUAGAUAAUAUUUCAGAGACAGAGUCUCUGAAUAGAACAAAAAGAACCUGUUCAGAAACACAAUGUCUGCUGAGAGGUUCAGCUGUUUGAAUUCAGAGGUUUGCAGGCCUGAAUUCUGUCUGCAAAGCAAAGGCAGACUAAGACACCUCCAUGCUAAGGUCCUACCUGCCUCCAACUUGUACUGAAAGGGGGUUUGCCCGCGACCUCACUUAGAAGUGGAGCUAAUUGAUCCCGUAUCAAAGGUGAACUGCAACGGGGUGCCUUGGUUGGUUACAGGUCGCGUGUAAAUUGAAAAACUGUUUGUCUGGUUCUGGUGGAAAUUCACAUUUCCUGUCACCGCGUGGCUGGGUUUUGCUCACCCUCCUCAUGCAGCAACGCUUUUCAAGAGGAUAUUCUGAUCCCUAAUGAACCCCGGGAGCACAAAAUCAUUUUCAUCAGCAGCGCGAGAGAGAAGUUUUUUUUCCUGCGUAAGGUUUCGCUGAGAGACUUAAGGCAGCAACAGGUUGCCGACUAAAACAAACAGGAGACUUGUCUACCUGGCGACUGUUCCUUUGAUGCGAGAAUGAAUGUCACCGCUUUGCAAACAAAGAUGAUGAUUAAAAAAAGCAUCCUUUUUCCUAGAGGGUUCUCAGAGCGCUUUGGUGCGCUCAACCCCCCCUUAAGGGCUCCAGAAGAACACUAAAACACAAGUACGCGCUCUUUGUUGGUUUUGUUCUAUAAGCCUGCAAGAACACAGAGCAUCCAGUCCAGGUGUCCCUGGCUUGGCAAAACAACGGGUGCAGAUUGAUCUGAUCUGGAGGUAAAGGACAUUAACAUCUUCAGGCCGUACAGAGGCACGCAGCCAGGGAAGCAGCGGAGCGGGCUGGGCGCGCUGUCUUGGACCCCUCGCUCCAAGAGCCCUUGUUACCGGACUGGUCUGCCAGGCAGGUGUUCCUAUAACUUACAACAGAAUAAAUGAGAAGCUGAAUGGGUGUACA